CUGACACCCAGACACACGGACACCCAGACACCCAGACACCCAGACAGCUGACACCCAGACACCCAGACAGCCGACACCCAGACACCUGACACCUGGACCCCCAGACACCUGACACCCAGACACCCAGACACUUGACACCAAGAUACCUGGACACCCCACCACCCAGACACCUGGACACCCUGCCACUCAGCCACUUGGACACCUGGGCACUCAGGCACCCCACCACCUAGACACCCUGCCACUUGGAUACCCAGAUACCCUGUUCCCCAGACACCAAGACACCCAGUUACCCCACCACCUGGAAAACCCUCCACCCAGACACCCUGCCACCUGGACACCUGGAGACCCCUCUGCCCACAGACCUCACCACCAGGAUACCCUAUCACCCAUACACACAGACACCCAAACAUGCUGCCAUCCCACCACCCAGACACUCUGUCACCUGGACACGCAGACACCCUGCUGUCCCACCACCCAGACACCCUGCCACCCUGCCACCUGGACAUGCCGCCACCUGGACACCCAGACACCCUGCCACUCAGCCACCUGGACACCAUGCCACCCAGCCACCCGGACACCCAGCCACCCAGCUGCCCCGCCAGCCACAUGUGGCUGACUCCCUGCUCACCCUCCCAACUGCAUCAGCCACAGGGAACUGCGGUGGGGUCCCAGCACCCCUGGGCAGGCAGUUCCAUAGGGGAUUACCUCCAGCUGUCUUUCACAGAGAGACAGCCAA
rnacentral:lncRNA from 1 species